GGGGGUCCUGCGCGGCGCCAUUCGAAACAGGGCGCUUCGCGGGUGAGAAAUACCCUUUGAACCUGAUCUGGAUAAUGCCAGCGCAGGGA
rnacentral:ncRNA from 17 species